rnacentral:rRNA from 1 species
AGUAGCGGUGAAAUGCGUAGAUAUCUGGAGGAAUACCAAAGGCGAAGGCAGUCCCCUGGUCCGAUACUGACACUGAGGUACGAAAGCGUGGGGAGCAAACAGGAUUAGAUACCCAGGUAGUCCACGCCCUAAACGAUGUCGAUUAGCCAUUGGAAGGACCCCUUUUCCUUUCAGUGACGUAGCUAACGCGUUAAAUCGACCGCCUGGGAAGUACGACCGCAAGGUUAAAACUCAAAGGAAUUGACGGGGACCUGAACAAGCGGUGAAUGAUGUGGAUUAAUUCGAUGCUACGCGAAGAACCUUACCUACCUUUGACAUGGCCAAAGUUCUACCGAGAGGCGGAAGUACUCGUAAGAGGAUUGGCGCACAGGUGCUGCAUGGUUGUCGUCAGUUCGUGUCGUGAGAUGUUGGGUUCAGUCCCGCAACGAACGCAACCCUUAUCUUUAAUUGCUCCUAUUUUAACAGGCACUUUAAAGAAACUGCCAAUGAUAAGUUGGAGGAAGGUGGGGAUCACGUCAAGUCCGCAUGGCCUUUAUAGGUAGGGCUUCACACGUCAUACAAUGGUUAGAACAAAGAGCUGCAAAUUCGUAAGAAGGAGCCAAUCUCACAAACCUAACCUCAGUUCGAAUUGCGGUCUGCAACUCGAGCGCAUGAAGCCGGAAUCGCUAGUAAUCGUGGAUCAGAAUGCCA